GCAGACCUGGGUAAAACGUCAGCACUGUACCUGGACAGCUGCGUGAACUUGGGAAGGAAAUGUGAUCUCUUCAGACCUCAGUGUGGGUAUAACAAUGAUGCUGACCUCACAGUUUUCUGGGAUCCAGCAUCCUAUGUGUCCCGUGCCCAUCUGCUGGGACACUGCCCUGUCACCUCCCGGACUCGACUGUGUGCAACAAGCCUUUGCCACCUGCUGCCAGGGCUCCGCCUGCCUGGCUCACUGCCUCUUGUGACCUCUGAUCCUCCUGGUUGAGCUCACCUGCACAUCUUUUCCCCUACAAGAAACGCACCCAACUGGAGUGUGGAAUCACUUUGAUCCUCAUCUUCAUCUUUUCCUUGAUGACAACUUUGGAUUUAAUUUGUGUUUGGGAAUUGAAAUGCAAAUUUGUAAUUACCCACAAUCCCCUCUUCCUCAUGCCCUGCUGGGGUGGUGGGAGUCAGAUUAACAUUGAUGCUGUGUGUUC